rnacentral:rRNA from 1 species
UAUGGCCAUACCACCCUAAACACGCCUGAUCUCGUCUGAUCUUGAAAGCUAAGCAGGGGUCGGGCCCUGGUUAGUACUUGGAUGGGAGAAAGGGAAAGUAAGAGCAAACCUGA